GAAACACCCUUAUGGGGCAGGACUUUACUUCAGUGGGGCUUUGGUGCUCACUGAGUCUGCCCCUUGAGUGUGUCACU
rnacentral:pre_miRNA from 1 species